GCGAGCUUUCGCUACCAGAGGUCGGUGCGUGCGGGCGGCUUCCGGCGUGGUGACUGUUUCUGGAACGAUUUUGAGCCGAUCGUCUGCAGAGUUGUGCCGCUGCCUGUCCGUCUGCAUCAUGGCUGCUGGAGAGGGGCCGGUCCUCGCCACCGCGCCGGUCCAAUGUCCGACCGACCUAUCGCUGGACACUCUGGACGACCACAGCUCAUGUGCGGCAAUACGAGCGGCGCCGUUGGUACCGAGAUUAGAAACGUCCAUCUGCCGGUCAAAACUCAACUGCGGCCUGCGGAAACUCCAGCUCUCUCACAGGACGUCUGGCAGUUCGCGAGUUGGGGACACUGCUCCAGUAUACCGACCAAUGGACGUCACUUCAAUGGAUCGCGUCACAAACUUGACCCGUGUUUGGCGGUGUCGGGGCGGUCUCCCGGUGCCGAGUCCCGUCCGGCGGCUGUAUUGUUGACCCAAGAUGCCGUUCCGUCGUCCGAACUCCGGCUGCUUGUGACCUGGCGCCGGACAGACUCCGAACGGUGCGGCAGUACAGUAUGGAGUGUGGCGCCGGUAUACAGCUGACACCAGACGUCCGUCCAUCGGCCUCGCACCUGGACAAAGGUUCACCUCACCAGAGCGCCGGUGGCCCUGCUCCAACACACCACCGGGACCCGCCACAGGUUUCGGCUUACCAGGUCGUUUGCAUGCGAAGAACUUCAAAGAAGGAGCACCAAGAGUCGGAGAGCAGAAGAACCUCGUCCAAAGGGGGGAGAGGGGUAAUCGGGAAAGGAGGUAUGCGUGCCUGCCUUCUCUCCUGAUUGCCCCCUCCCUACCACGUAUAGAGGGAGGGGGUGAUCAGGGGGAGGUAGGUGAGCCUGCCCUCUCUCCUGAUUAUCCCCUCCCCUACCACGUGUAGGGGGGGGGGGUGAUCAGGGGGAGGAAGGUGAACCUGCCCUCUCUCCUGAUUAUCCCCUCCCCUACCACGUGUAGGGGGGGGGGGUGAUCAGGGGGAGGAAGGUGAACCUGCCCUCCCCCGAUUGUCCCCUCCGCCGCCGUGUAAAGGGGGGGAUAAUCAGGGGAGAGGGCAGGCACACCUACCUCUCCCCGAUUGCCCCUACCCUAUGUGUAGGGGGCAAUCGGGGGGAGGUAAGUGGGCCUGCUUUCUCCCCAGAUUGUCCCCUGCCAUGUGGGGGGGGGGGGGGGAGUAAUCGGGGAAAGGAGGCGGGAGUGCCUUCCCUCCUGAUGCUCCCCUCCCUGCCAUGUGUGUGAGAGGGGGGGUAAUCCCCUCACCUGCCGUGUAUGUGGGGGGGGGAGUAAGUGAACAUCAGAAGAAAAAUACAUGCUGGACUAUCG